GCCAGGGAAGAUGAGAGGAUAGAUUUCAUUCAUUGUGUAGUAUGUCAGGCUGAUUCUAGAGCUGGUCUUAUCAUGAGGGGUUCACUUUCCUUGACCCUAAUCAGGAUAUGGCUGCCAGGGGCCAUCCUUGAUCAGACAGAAUUCUGCAGCCAAGGCCAUGAUUCUGAGCCAGCACUGGUUUCUGGCUGGGACACCCAUUCUUCUGCCUAUGUUGUUUCCUCUCCACAGAGCUCUAAGUGUCGCACAACUCUGCGGUAGAACAAGGUCUUGCCUCCUUGUCCUGGGAAGCUCCUCCAGUCUCCCUGGAAUUCUGGUGCUCCAACUGCUGGAUGAGGUGGGGCUGGAGGUCCAUCCAGCUCUCCAGGCUGAGCUCCUGCAUCUCUUUCCUAUGGGGUGGGCAUUGCAAAGACCUCUUCACGUUUGUCUUUCCUGUGGAUGUUUCCACAAAAUUUACCUCCACUUUCUGCAAGACACAGCUACUGCCAUCAUCCAACCUGUGUGCCAUGACCAUCUUGCCACCCAGCCGAACUCCACCA
rnacentral:lncRNA from 1 species